GCGAAGCUUCAUUGAUUGACUAUAUUUCUGCCCAAUGACCACUGAUCUUCUUGAAAUCUAGCUGGGUAGAUAGCCAAUGAGCUGAGGUAAACGCCAGUAUGUAAUGGUUUUGGGUUGGACCACAAUUCUUUGUUUGUCAUCGCACGCACAGGGAACUCCAUUCUCGCCUUGACGAUCAGAGGAGUUGCUCUAAGGCUUUUUACGCGCAGCUGUAUUUCGGAAAGUUGUAGUUUCAACGAUUUCAUUGAAGACAUCAAGAAUUAAGAAUAAAUCAGGAAAAGCGAAGUCAAAGUCUAAAGUGAAAGUGAAAAAGUGAAAGUGAGACAGAUUUUUUGUUUGAGGAAUCUUGGAGUGUUAUGAUUCAAACGAACUGAGGAGCUGUUUCUGCAAGGACAGGACGUACUUCUGGAUGGUGAUAGCGACUCCGACUGGGAGCCCCCGGUGCCAAGCUGCCCGCUCUACCUCUGCCCCCAGUGGUGUUCAUAUGCCACAGUUCAUUACUGCAGGCAUGACUGUGCCUCAGGGCCAAAAGGUCACAGCAUGGAGGCGUUGUUGUGUUCAGUUUGCCUCUGAUUUACAUCAGAAAUAGACUGCUAUGGGACAUGGCACAGGCAGCAAAAUAUUGAGUCGGCGCUGUUUUUUUUUAAAUAUAUUUUUUCUAAUAUUUUUUGUAAUUGUUUUUGGAGUUUGUGUGUGUUAGAAUUGCUUUUUGAGAUGUUGUAUUUAGUUAUUUGCACUGUUGUAUAUAGUCAUAGGUCAUUUCACCAAUUCAGCCACUUGGUACAUUUGGGCAACUUGUGUGGGACACCUGGGUGACUUCAUGCUAAAUGUCAUGUAGCUCACCCAUUCCUGAAGUUAUAGUCUGAAACUUUGCACACCUACAGUUGCCCUCUUGUGUUAUCCAUCAAAAUUAUCAAAAUUAUCAAAAUAAUCAUCCUAUCUGACCGUGUGGCUAUUCCAGUACAUGUGAAAGAUGAUGCUACAACAAUAAAAAACAGACAACGUA